GCAUCGGCCACAAUGAGGUGAUCGGGAUGUGCCGGGUUGGGAACGCUGCUGACGGCCCGGGCCGGGAACACUGGAACGAGAUGCUGGCAAAUCCACGCAAGCCCAUUGAGCAGUGGCACCAGCUGAUCGAGGAGAAGGUGAUGAACAGCUACAUGACAAAGAGUUUUCCCUCGGGUUCAGGAGCCACCAAACCAGUCAGCAUCGUGGUGGAGAGCCCUCAUUCAGACUGAGGUUACUGCUUCACAUCCAUACAAUAUCGGACAUCAGUGUGAGUAAUCGCCAUCACCACCAUCUGCCCUGUCUUUAUCUGUCCGUCUCUCUCUAUCUCUAUCUCUCUCACACAGGGACUCAAGAAGCCAGCAGUGCAAUAUUUUCUUUUUCUUCAAUUUGUAAAUCCUUCACCGCGAGAGAGAAAGAGAGAAAGAGGGAGAAGGAGAGAGAGAAUUGGAGCGACUGGGAGAUGAGGAACAGACUCUCCCACCCACCGUUCUGAGGUGACCCCCGCCAUCGACCUGAGGGACUGGGAUGGAGAGAGAGCAAGACUCGGGGGUUGUCCACACUCCAUUACACCCGCCUCCCUGCAUUGGAGAGGGGGCUGGGUCUGUGAUGUGACCCCUCCCACCCUCCCCCCACCAACAUUUCUCCAUGGAUCCAGGGCCCAAGAGGAAGAUUCAGAGAGUCUCAUCGACAGAAAUUGUCAUUUUCUGAGGAAAAAAAUGUCACUUCAAACACAUGUGUCACCAUGUUGUGGAUGUGUGUGCCUUGUCAACCAUGUGGGACAUUCCAUCUCCAUCUAUGCCCCCCCCCCCCCCAAACCCCCCCCUCCCCCAUUC